CUCAGACACUCUGGCUGUUCUCAUCUGCUGCUCCACCACCUCUGAUGUUCUUUUGUAACUCUCCUGCAGCUGCGCUGUGUCUGCUUUCUAGAGACAAUUAUUCCGACUGAUGCUUUCAUCCCAAAGCUUAUUGAGCAGGCAAGUCAGAUAUCUUUUGCAGCGGAUAAAACGAAGGAGGAACAACUGGGGGAGAGAGAGGGCAAGACCAGCAGAGAGGAGGGCGGGUGCCUGAGAGGAAACACAAAUGAUGCGAGCAAGUCGCUGCCCAAUUUGCCACACCUUUGUUGUUUCUGAAACACAAACGUUUCCUUGAUGAAAGUGCUAAAUCUUGGUCAUUUUUCUUUGCUUUCACCAACAGAAAAGCUGCUGAGAGGGGGAAACCCUCUGGAGGUCUUGAUGUGUGGCUGUGGUGAUCAAUCAUAGAACCACUCAGGACGAGAUCUUGAGUGGUGAUCACUGACUGGCUGAGCUUUGGUUUUACUGCAUCGCCUGCUGGCGACGAAGUUCUUGUUGAAGGUAUAAAGUUGCUGACAGUCCUGGAGGGCUGAGUUGAUCUGAAGCUGUUAAACAGACCAGAGGAGAAAAGGUCAAAGGUUAUGAAGUUAUGAAAGACUGGCGAUGAAUCUUCUUGUUUAUCUCACCGGAGUCCGCAGAGCUGUGCUCGUGGGCUAAGGAAAGACUAAAAGGAAGGAAAGGGAGGAAAAGAAGUCAUUCUUUCCAAGCCACUCAGCCCAGACCCAAGAGCAACUUGUUUUGGGGGUCCUCCGCCUGCCCAGGAUGAGAGACGGCCAUUGUACGAGUCGCUGCAGUAGACGUGGGGGCUUUGAGAGGGCACCAGUUGAUUGAGGGAGGAGUGGGAGAGAAAUCUGAAUUUCUGCUAAACUCCGUCACAGCAGCGGGGAGUGGGACAAAGAGACACUGUGAUGACCGCAGCGGAGGAGAAUUUCGCAUUGCCUCUCCAUGACUGGUUACGCUGGCCACCGAUGACAGCUGAUAAACAGUUUUCCAAUAACGGUCUGCAUAAAAAGUCAAUCGUCCAGCUGCAGCUGAUCCAGAACGCUGCUGCUCACAUUCUCACUAAAACUAUGAAGAUGGAGCACAUAACACCAGUUCUAAAGUCCUUCCUCUGGCUCCCUGUAUCUCAGAGAAUAGACGUUAAAAUACUUCUGUUGGUUUAUAAAUUACUGAACGGAUGAUCUCCGAAACACACUGGAGACUUGUUUUUAUUGCAUCAACCUCCCAGACCACUCAGGUCUUCUGGAUCAAGUCUAAUGUCUGUUGCUUGUUUGCUGUCGUCAACACAACCGUUUACAUUUUUCACAUGUAAUCCACUUUGAACUGUUGCUGCUGCACAAAUAAACGUGACUUGACUUACUGCCAGCUGGACUGUUGCUAUAACUGGUGCAGUGCAGCUUUGAGUCACUUGCAGGAAGCUGAGAAGCAGACAAAGAGGAGGAUGCUCUCCUCUGUGAGUGGAAGUGUCUCAGAGGAUGUCAAAGUCCAAAUGCAGUAAAUUACUCAUCCAAAUAUCAAUGGCUUUUUCCAACUGUCUCCUCUUCAUCCUUGGCUGGUUUUCACGCCAUGUUUUUUCAAGUUUUCAACGCAUAUUGUGAGUCUUCAAAAGGUCGAGGCGCGGAUUCAAAUUGUGCUUUUUUUCUUCAAUUGAUCGAACCGUUUUUUAAUGUUAGGCAUCAUCCAGAGCUGAAAGUUUAACACCACAAAUUCGGUUUAAGACAACAUACCUUUGAACUUCUUGUCGUUUUAGAGAGGAAGGGUUUGGUUGAGCAGAAAACAAACAGAGGAAGCUGACUGUUGGCCUGCUGGCUCUUAAAGCUCUUAGCAAGAGACAAAAAAGAAAAAAUGUAUCCACACCUUUUAUAGCUUCACGCACUCCUCCUAUGCAUCCCCAUUGGCACUAUUAGGAAUUUAAAACAAUUGCUGUUUGUCAUCUAUGCAAAGGUCCAGAACGGAAUUUCCCAUGAUGGUAUCGGCUUCCCGCCGUAACACAGAAGCUCGAUGCUGAGGCUUGGACAAGGAAGGAAGUACAGUUCAAAUUGUUCUGGUUCAAACGCAGUAAAAUAAGCAAGAAUCGAUUCUUUUUGAGCCAAGAGGUGUAGAUCCCGGAGGAGAGUGGAAAUUCCCACACCCAGCAGCGAGGUCAGAUAGUGAUGGGCGGAUGAGGCCCCACUGGGUGUAUGGCACAUUUCCCAAACUGUGUCGACACUGUGUUGAAACUGUGUGGCUGUGUCACUC